rnacentral:rRNA from 1 species
GGAGGUAGUGACAAUAAAUCACAAUGCGGAACUUCUGUUUUGCAAUUGGAUUGAGAACAACGCACAACACUUAUCGAUAAACAAUUGGAGGGCAAGUCUGGUGCCAGCAGCCGCGGUAAUUCCAGCUCCAAUAGCGUAUAUUAACGUUGUUGCAGUUAAAAAGCUCGUAGUUGAAGUGAAGUGUGAACCUUCUGGAUUUUCGUUCGAAUUUCUUGCUGGUUCGCACUCUUUCCAAAUAGUUUGCAUGGGUAUUCACUUAUCUGUGUAUUGCAUUUGGUCAUUUACUGUGAGAAAAUUAGAGUGUUCAAAGCAUACGUUUGUUUGAAUACAUUAGCAUGGAAUAAUUCGAAAAGGCUUUCAUGUUCGAUUUGAUUGGUUUGUUCGUGAAGGCAAGAUUAAAAGGGACAGUUGGGGGUAUUCAUAUUCAAUAGUCAGAGGUGAAAUUCUCGGAUUUAUGGAAGAUGAACAA